rnacentral:rRNA from 1 species
AUGUGGUUCGCUAUCCCUGCGGUCUCCGUCUUCAUCGACACCGGCCGUCCGCCUGGAGACACCUUUGGCUCAUAUUGGCCAAUCCCCUUCGACGUAGCAGCCGCCACCCCGUCUUCGGUGAUGGAUCAACAACCACCAUCUUUCGUUGUCCCACCUUCAGGAGUGAUCAAUGUAUCCACCUCGUCGGACCAUACUGCCAUCGAUGUCACCGCGACGCCACACCAUACAACAAUCAUGCACGUGUCCACCCACAUGCGCCCGUCGUCGAAUCUCCGCUGCGCCAUGCCGCUGAGUUCCGCCUUCGACCUUGCGGAUCAACAACCACCAUCUUUCAUUGUCCCACCUUCAGGAGUGAUGAACGUAUCAACCUCAUCGGGCAAUACUGCCAUCGAUGUCACUGUGACGCCACAUGAUACAACCAUCAUGCACGUGUCCAUCCACACGCGCCCGUCGUCGAAUCUCCGCCGCGCCAUGCCGCCGAGUUCCGCCUUCGACCUUGCGCCUAUAAUAUCCCCUAGCUUCAACAUGGGUCUCUAUGUUGCAUCGGAGGGGAAGUUUUUCAGUUGGAUGUUUAGCUGGAAAGUGUUGAUGAAGAUAGAAGGGAGAGAAACGGGAGCCCACCCCCCUCUUCCAGCCGUCGGAGCAGCGGACAGAGAGGGGUGGAGAUCACCGCGCUCGUUGGCGUCCAAACAAGACAAGAACUGCCGCCUCUCUACCGCCAGGCGAACACGAAAGGCGAUCCAUUUCUACCGGCUAGAUCCGCAUCGUUCUCUUCUCCGGACGGCCUCACCGUCGACAUGGGAGGAGAGGAAACUGGUCUGGCCAGUGGUGGCGAUGGGGGCAAACAAUAAUGCACCAAAUUUCUACAUGAAGGUGAGGUACUUGUUGUCUUUGUUGGUGGAUAUGGGUUACUGGUUAUUCCGGCUUGCUGCUGAUCUUCAGAUCUAUUGGAUUUCGCCGUCGGUGAAUACUUCCCAUCUGUCAUUAAUCCAUGAGCUCAUCCAUGGUUCCCUUCCUGCUCUGGAAGGGAGCGGCGCGAUGGCAGCACGCCCUCAUCUCGAUCUGGUCAUGCAUAUCAAUGAGCGUUCUGACAUAACUACUCUUGCCUUGCUGGUUGAAAAUAUGUGUGUGAACGAUCAAGACCGCCAUGCAUUCAUGGCCGGAAACUACCCCCAAGAGGACAUUGAUUACUUGAUGGAUGGAGAAGAUACAUAUCUGGAUAGUUGUUCCGUGAUCUGGAUGGUGAGAGUCUCGUUCAGUAACCCCACAAGGAAACGGUGCCAGACGCAGAUACCUAGGCAAAAGGUGGAGUUAUUAAUCGAUCCCGUGCGGCUGGGUACCGAGCAGUCGCCUCCUUUUUUCUCGUUCCUCCCCAACUCCCCCACGCGCAACCCCUGCCGCCGCUUCUUCUUCCUCGCCCAGCGCGGUCGCCCCGAUGCAGCCGCUCCAUCCUCCACCAGCAGCCCCGCCCCGCCGCUGAUCGUCGCCUACAGCGCCGCCAUACCAUCCUCAGUUUCAGCCGGCCGCAUGGACCGUCGCCGGGAGAAGUUCGCCGGGGCACCACCGGCUCCGCCUCUGUUCGCCGGGGCACCACCGGCUCCGCCUCUGUUCGCCGCUGCACCACCGGCUCCUCCUAUGUUCGCAGCUGCCAACAGCUCCUCCGGCCAGUCAGCACCUGGUCUUUGGCAGUCCACGAACCCCACCAUUCCAGCCAAUGCACUAUCGAUCGCAUGUGGUUAUGGUGAGGAGCAGCUACAGGCCUUCGCCUUGGAGAAAUAUGAAGCCAACCAACAAUCAGCUUUCCAACAUUUGACAAUGUGGAGAGAUCUGAAGGACAACGGAAAGUGGCUUGCAGCAAUGAAAAAAAAUGAAUGGGGAGCAAGAUAA